rfam:Aedes albopictus isolate Foshan contig84170, whole genome shotgun sequence.
CAGGAAGGAAUUCCGGAGAAUUCCAGGAAGGAAUUCCGGAGAAUUCCAGGAAGGAAUUCCGGAGAAUUCCAGGAAGGAAUUCCGGAGAAUUCCAGGAAGGAAUUCCGGAGAAUUCCAGGAAGGAAUUCCGGAGAAUUCCAGGAAGGAAUUCCGGAGAAUUCCAGGAAGGAAUUCCGGAGAAUUCCAGGAAGGAAUUCCGGAGAAUUCCAGGAAGGAAUUCCGGAGAAUUCCAGGAAGGAAUUCCGGAGAAUUCCAGGAAGGAAUUCCGGAGAAUUCCAGGA